rnacentral:rRNA from 6 species
GGGAGGGCGCUUACCACUUUGUGAUUCAUGACUGGGGUGAAGUCGUAACAAGGUAACCGUAGGGGAACCUGCGGUUGGAUCACCUCCUUACCUUAAAGAAGC